rnacentral:rRNA from 1 species
GAAAAGAACCCCGGGAGGGGAGUGAAAUAGAACCUGAAACCCUGCACUUACAAGCUGUGGAAGCACAUUUCUUGUGUGACCGCGUACUUUUUGUAGAACGGGCCAACGAGUUACGUUAAGUAGCAAGGUUAAGCACUUAAGGUGCGGAGCCGUAGCGAAAGCGAGUUUUAACUGAGCGUUCAGUUACUUGACGUAGACCCGAAACCGGGCGACCUACCCAUGAGCAGGAUGAAGCGAAAGUAAAAUUUCGUGGAGGUCCGAACCCACGAGCGUUGAAAAGCUCGGGGAUGACUUGUGGGUAGCGGUGAAAUUCCAAUCGAGCCCGGAGAUAGCUGGUUCUCCCCGAAAUAGCUUUAGGGCUAGCCUCAAGGUGAGAGAUACGGAGGUAGAGCACUGAAUGUCCUAGGGGGUAUUGCACCUACCGAAGACUAUCAAACUCCGAAUGCCGUCAUCUUAUACUUGGGAGUCAGACUGUGGGUGAUAAGAUUCAUAGUCGAAAGGGCAACAGCCCAGAUCGUCAGCUAAGGUCCCUAAAUGUAAGUUAAGUGGUAAAGGAUGUGGGAUUGCACAGACAACCAGGAUGUUGGCUUAGAAGCAGCCACUCAUUCAAAGAGUGCGUAAUAGCUCACUGGUCGAGUGAUCCUGCGCCGAAGAUUUCCGGGGCUAAAACUUACUACCGAAGCUACGGCAUCAGUAAUGAUGGGUAGGGGAGCUUCCCAUACGGGUUGAAGCAUGACCGUAAGGACAUGUGGACAGUAUGGGAGUGAGAAUGUUGGCAUGAGUAGCGAGAUGUGGGUGAGAAUCCCACAGGCCGUAAACCCAAGGUUUCCAGGGGAAGGUUCGUCCGCCCUGGGUUAGUCGGGACCUAAGCUGAGGCCGAAAGGCGUAGGUGAUGGACAACAGG